UGCAGGAGCGUCAUGGCCUGUAAGCUGGGCAGCCGAAACUCUGAGUACUGAAAAGAUUAUGAUAUCUCAUCAUCUUCAGGUGGAAUUUGCUCAUCAAACCAUCGUGGAGGAUCAAAACCAGAGCCGCCAAGGGGAUUACAGCGACAGAGACGCCAGCCGGUCAAGAUGGUGCCCUUGACAACACCAUACUUCUUGUAAGCUAUCAUCGAAUACUCACUGCAUGUUGGAACAUAUCGACAGCUUUUUGGCAACAAAGGCGAGAUUUCCCUUUUGUAGAAUCUCAGCAUGGAUAAUGCAGCUUUAACUCCUAAAUUGUUGGCUUCCUCAUCUUGUUGAUUGUUUUGGUGAGAGUCUG
rnacentral:misc_RNA from 1 species